rnacentral:pre_miRNA from 1 species
UCUUAUACAUGAGAAAAGAAAGUAGUUUCUGGAGACAGAAUCUACUUCUGGUGAAGAUGCUAUGAA